AUUGAACGCUGGCGGCAGGCCUAACACAUGCAAGUCGAGCGGAGCGGCGGACGGGUGAGUAAUGCCAAGGAAUCUGCCUGGUAGUGGGGGAUAACGUCCGGUAACGGGAGCUGAUACCGCAUACUAUCAGAUUAGGAUAAGUCGGAUUAGCUAGUUGGAGGGGUAAAGGUCUACCAAGGCGACGAUCCGUAACUGGGGUGAGAGGAUGAUCAGUCACACUGGAACGUAGACAAGGUCCAGACUCCUACGGGAGGCAGCAGUGGGGAAUAUUGGACAAUGGGCGAAAGCCUGAUCCAGCCAUUCCGCGUGUGUGAAGAAGGUCUUCGGAUUGUAAAGCACCUUAAGUUGGGAGGCGUUACCAACAGAAUAAGCACCGGCUAACUCCGUGCCAGCAGCCGCGGUAAUUC
rnacentral:rRNA from 1 species